rnacentral:sRNA from 1 species
UAAAUUGAAAGGGAAUUUAAUGAAAAAACCCUUAACUUUGGUCAGAUCCAUUUUUAAACCCUAAACUAUGUUUUUAGUAAAACAAACCCUGAACUAAAACCUGUUAAUAAACUUAACCCCACAGUAAUUAAAUAUUAAUGGGAUAUUAAUUUCCAAAAAUAAAAACAACGAGACAUUUGUAUUUAGCGCAAAAACCACAUGAUGUUCUUUAAAACUGUUUUGAAUUUAUUACAAAAA